UACAGAGGUCCCAAGCGUUGUUCGGAUUCACUGGGCGUAAAGGGUGCGUAGGUGGUGAGGUAAGUCGGAUGUGAAAGCUCCGAGCUCAACUCGGAAAUGGCAUUGGAAACUACCUUGCUAGAGGGUUUGAGGGGGGACUGGAAUACUUGGUGUAGCAGUGAAAUGCGUAGAUAUCAAGUGGAACACCAGCGGCGAAGGCGGCGAUCCCUG
rnacentral:rRNA from 1 species